UACCUGUUGGUUUUCCCUCCCAGGUGUGUUUGCUCAUUAGUGCUCCCUCUUCACCUUGUGGUACGACAUUCCUUGUGUCUCCAGCUUCUUCCCAGUGUUUGUUCCAGAAGUGUUUGGGACCUUUUGUUUUCCUGGACUUUUGCCUGCUCCCCGUUUGCCUGCCUCACCAUCACGAUUAUUUCAACCUCACGGUACACUCACAACAUGAGAAGGUUGACUCUGCUGUUUGAUGUGAGGCUACAGCAGGUUAGCUUAGCAUAAAGACCUGAAGGCAGGAGGACACGGCUAACCAUCACCACCGGCCUGAUCUGGUCUGGUGUCCUGGGUUUGUCUGACGCAGCCUGCACCCCCCGAAUGUGAGACAGAGUCAAGGAGGUCUGACGUAACCUGCUCACCUUCGCUAUCUCGGUCGUCCCAGCAGGAAAUCAAUCAUUUCUUGUGACUUGUGCUGAUGUCUUCCAGCUGUGACCAUGUGACCAAGACCCUGACCAUGUGGACGGAUCUCCAAACAACUUGGACGAGACAGAAAAACACCUGCAGCUAUCCCUUCGGUACUGACACACCAUGUUUUUACCUGAAAAUUGACGGACUGCGCCUUUAUUUCCAGUGACAUCCAAGUUAUUAUCAGUAAGUCACAUCAGCAGCAGGAUUACUGACAGAACAACAAUCACAAAUUCAGCCUGAAUCAGAAAGUCAACAGGACAAACAAACCAUUUUGUUUCUCUGCAUUCUUUU